rnacentral:lncRNA from 1 species
UGCUUAGAGGUGCCCGGACCAGGAAUGGGGAUCCAACAGACUGGGGCACACUAACUCAGAAUGAUGCGAUGUGGCCUCCAGGCACCACCACUGGCUGUCCCAGUGCCUUCCCCUCAGGCCCAGAGAGAAGACUUUAUAAUGGGAAAAAUAGCAGAGAAAGCAUACUAUAAUAAAAAAUACUGAUCUCACUACAUCAUAUAAAGUAAGUGAAUCUUUAAAGCACAUUAACCACUUCACUGAAGAUCUGUAGAUGGCAAAAAGCAUGUGAAAAAAUGCCCUGCACUCUAUAUCCUCAGGGCAAUGCAAACUAAAACAAUAAGACCACUGCACACCUAUCAGAAUGGCCCAAAUCCAGAACACUGAUAAUACCGGGGGCAGUGUAGAUGUCAGG